UAGGUAUGGCAGAACUCCCAUGUCUAUGAGUUUCCUGACAAAUAUACUACUUUUAUUAUUUGUAUAUACAUUUCUGUAUCUAUGAGCAGCAUUUGGUGAUGGUCUUCUGUCUGUCCUUUGCCAGUGAGAAUGUUGACUCCAAGAAUGAGGUGUAUUAUUUCUUCCCCGUCUGCAGCUUUGAUCUCUCCACGCUUUGUAAUGAUAGAGCCAUCCUCUAUGUGAAGCAGUCCAGGAAUGUCUGCUUUAUUUCUUGCACAGAGAGAACAUGAUGUCAAUAGAGAGCAAAGGGCCAGAAGGACUGUGCAGGAAAGAAAACACUGAGGCCAGUGUGCUGGGACGUCAAGGCCUAAAAUCUGAAGAUUCUUCUUCCAGAGUUUUUAGUCACUCACAAAACAGAUGUCAUUUUUGAAAAUGCCGAAUUGCAAAAUACACAAAAAAAUCAGCAUCCUUCAAGAAUACUGUUGUGCUUUCUUCUCAUUUGCUGGAAGCCGAGCUUCGCCAGAUCCGGAGGACCCUUCUCUGGGAGAUGAGGUUGAAGCUCAGGGAUGCAGCCAUAAGGAUGGUGGGAAGUGAUAAGACACAUGCCGCUGCUGAAACCAAAUGGGAGUCCGGAUAAGUGGAGGAAAACUACAGGAGACUCCGAGGGUGUCUGCAGCAUAUGGAGCUAUCCCAGAAAGGUGGCACCCUGUAUACCAAUCGUCUUCCUUCCCACUUUGAUAUUAAAAAU
rnacentral:lncRNA from 1 species